GGUUACUGCUAUCGGUGUUCGCCUAAGCCAUGCGAGUCAUAUGUUCGUAAGAACAUGGCGUACUGCUCAGUAACACGUGGAUAACCUGCCCUUGGGUCCGGCAUAACCCCGGGAAACUGGGGAUAAUUCCGGAUAACGCACAUAUGCUGGAAUGCUUUUUGCGUAAAAUGGAUUCGUCUGCCCAAGGAUGGGUCUGCGGCCUAUCAGGUAGUAGUGGGUGUAAUGUACCUACUAGCCUACGACGGGUACGGGUUGUGAGAGCAAGAGCCCGGAGAUGGAUUCUGAGACAUGAAUCCAGGCCCUACGGGGCGCAGCAGGCGCGAAAACUUUACAAUGCGGGAAACCGUGAUAAGGGGACACCGAGUGCCAGCAUCCUAUGCUGGCUGUCCGGGUGUGUAAAAUACACCUGUUAGCAAGGGCCGGGCAAGACCGGUGCCAGCCGCCGCGGUAACACCGGCGGCCCGAGUGGUGAUCGUGAUUAUUGGGUCUAAAGGGUCCGUAGCCGGUUUGGUCAGUCCUCCGGGAAAUCUGACAGCUCAACUGUUAGGCUAUCGGAGGAUACUGCCAGACUUGGAACCGGGAGAGGUAAGAGGUACUACAGGGGUAGGAGUGAAAUCUUGUAAUCCCUGUGGGACCACCUGUGGCGAAAGCGUCUUACCAGAACGGGUUCGACGGUGAGGGACGAAAGCUGGGGGCACGAACCGGAUUAGAUACCCGGGUAGUCCCAGCCGUAAACGAUGCUCGCUAGGUGUCAGGCAUGGCGCGACCGUGUCUGGUGCCGCAGGGAAGCCGUGAAGCGAGCCACCUGGGAAGUACGGCCGCAAGGCUGAAACUUAA
rnacentral:rRNA from 1 species